rnacentral:rRNA from 1 species
GACGAACGCUGGCGGCAUGCCUAACACAUGCAAGUCGAACGGAGAUUAUUUCGGUAAUCUUAGUGGCGAACGGGUGAGUAACGCGUGGGCAACCUGCCCUCUAGAUGGGGACAACAUCCCGAAAGGGGUGCUAAUACCGAAUGUGACAGCAAUCUCGCAUGAGGAUGCUGUGCAAGAUGGCCUCUAUUUAUAAGCUAUCGCUAGAGGAUGGGCCUGCGUCUGAUUAGCUAGUUGGUGGGGUAACGGCCUACCAAGGCGAUGAUCAGUAGCCGGUCUGAGAGGAUGAACGGCCACAUUGGGACUGAGACACGGCCCAGACUCCUACGGGAGGCAGCAGUGGGGAAUCUUCCGCAAUGGGCGAAAGCCUGACGGAGCAAUGCCGCGUGAGUGAUGAAGGAAUUCGUUCCGUAAAGCUCUUUUGUUUAUGACGAAUGUGCAGAUUGUGAACAAUGAUCUGUAAUGACGGUAGUAAACGAAUAAGCCACGGCUAACUACGUG